rnacentral:rRNA from 1 species
GAUGAACGCUGGCGGCGUGCCUAAUACAUGCAAGUCGAACGGACAGACGAGGAGCUUGCUGCUCUGACGUUAGCGGCGGGCGGGUGAAUAACACGUGGAUAACCUACCUAUCAUACGGGUAUCACUUCGGGACACCGGCUAUAAUACCAUAGGAUAUCUUGAACCGCGGGGGGCAAUGGAGAGAGACGGUGUUGGUGGAUCUUCUCGCGGCAUCCGCGCUGGAUUAGGUAGUUGGGAAGGUAACGGCUUACCAAGGCAACGAGGCGUAGCCGAGCUACGAGGGGGAUCGGCCACACGGGAACUGAGACACGGACAUGAGUCCUACGGGAGGCAGCAGUAGGGAAUCUGCCGCAGUGGGCGAAAGCAUGGCGGAGCAACGCCGAGUGAGUGAUGACGGCGCUCGGAGCGGAAUACUCUGUUAUUAGGGAAGAACAGAUGUGUAAGUAAAUGAGGAGUUAGUGACGGUACCUAAUAAGAAAGCCACGGCUAACUACGUG